ensembl:lncRNA
CAAACCAGUACUAUGACAGUGAAGAAGAGGAGGAAGAGUGGGGUUCAGAACAAGGAAGACCAGAGCAGUGGAGGAAUAUCAGCAUGCUAAUGAUCAGAUGGUAUGGCACUCUCAGGAAUAAUAAAAACAUCAGUGUUUUAUGCCAUCGUCGAGAAUGGUAAAUCUGACAACCACCAGUACACUUACUUAUGAAUUAUUCAUAAUUUAAAAUGGGUGAUCAUUUCUGGAGUGUGAUGCUUUUGUGUAAUGGGAUAAUAAUGAUGCUACCCUGGCAGCGGGUCUGGAGAGCUCCAGGCCACUAUGAAUUAAAUCCCAAGAGGAAUGCAGGGAAUCAUGGGAAUGUGGCUGAGUCUUCCAACAGCAGAGGGGAAGUACCGGGGGCAGUUGCCCCCAUCGCCUGUUACUCCUGGGUACAGAGCUGGACUGAGCAGAACAUCCUCUCUGCUAGGACAUACCACAGGAUCAGUGGUAACCCUUCUAGAAAAACUCACUCAUUAACUCUUCAAUGGGAAUGGGAUCUCUGCUCUUCUACUUGCAUUUUUUUCAUCUCACACUCUAAAGCUGGUGCAUAUUUUGGGUUUUAAGGGACAACUUAAGGGAUCAAGGAAGCUGUUGGAGCAUAUUUUUGGAUAACCUGUUAUCGGCUGUGGCUCUGAACAACCGUCUUACUUUAAACCCAUGCAGAUGCAGCCUCUGUCUGUAUCUCUGGGAGGUGGUGGUGAGGAUUCCUCCAAUUCCCCUUCUCAGAGCUUCAGCAUUACUGAGAUGGUAGAGGAGGGAAGUUUGUUUUUAUCAGGUUUUUGUUAUCUAAUCUUGACGAUCACAUCAACAGCCUAAAUAUCUAAUCCCCACUAAAGUUUUGACUAAUGAGUGAUAUG